UUUAUUCUACAAUUGAGUAGUUCAUAUUUUUAUUCAUCAUAUACCAAUAAAAACAGCUCAAUCAAAGAUCCCUAUAUUCGUGUGUCAGGGGAUGUCUCAACUAAAAGACACAUAGCCCAUAAGGAAGGAAGUAAGGGACGGGCAGGGGAUGUCGCUAUGGCUUGCCAUUCUAGUUCUUCAAACUUACAGUGCAGAAUCUGCAUAAGAGAAGGAAAGAAUGGAAUGCAAAAUCAUUAUUCCAUUAAGAUUUGGUCAUGCGAAACCUAUGUUUCACAUGAAAUAUAUCACCACCCAAACACUCCCUUUAAAACAAUUGCCGUCCAGUACAUUAAAGGGUGAUUAUGAAAUAGAAUCAUAGUUUUAUCUUUGGGGUUGGGACUUUGUGCUCCUAAAACACACAAAAACUUUAAGACAAAGCUUAAGAUCUAAGAAAAAUUUCAGUAUAUUUUAGCAAAAGGUGCUCUCACACACACCGGAAUUAGUUUUGUUUAGAAUUGGUUGGAAGACUACAAAAGUUUUUGGAACGUUGUGCAGACUUUAAGAAUAUUUCCAUGAUUUAUGACAUGAAUUUUUCCCUCUCUGUGAAUAAUUAAAAGUACAAUCCUGUUAUAAUUCGAACCAGACCUAAAACCACUUUGGUGAAAGCGAAACAUCUACAAUACCAAUUUGUUGCGAAUCCCACCAAAUAAUAAAAGAACGAAAAAAUAUGGAUAAUAUAAAAAUAAUCGAUUACAAAGAAAACAAAAUUUACAUGGAAACCCAAAUCUGGAAAAAACCACGGGCAAAGACAAGGAAUUCACUAUAAUCAAUAGCAAGGAGUUACAAAUGAUCUCUUUGGAUCAAUAACUAAUCGGACAAUUGGUUAAUUUCAAUAUAUGUUGUAAACCACAUAUUUGUAAUCAAAGAAUCACUUACAUACUAGUAGAAUUAAUACACGAAGAGUUAAAUAUAGAGUGGAAUCUAAAUACAAUGGGAAAAACCAAUAAUGGAGAAUUUGGGAUGAAAUAGGAGUCAACUUCACAUGAGACUCCUUCAAGGCAUCUUUAAGUCUUCUACCAACUUCCAAUAUUGCUCCAACUAUAUUUCCAAUCAAAUACUCGACAACAAUACGAUCACAAUCCAAUCCUAACAAACUCCACCUUGACACCAAUUUUAUUGUAAGGAAUAAAGCUUAACUCUUCAACUCCAACAAAAUUCUCCAAACAAAACACUCCACCAAAUUACUCUACCUCUUCCACCACCCCCCUCCAGGCAAACCCGACAACUAUGAACUGAAUCCAAGCCUUGCUUACCGGCAAAACUACCUUGGGCACCAACAUUGCUUGAAUCGUCCCAUUCACCUCCAGCUCCAGUGGAGUCACCAAGACUGCUAGAAUCACCAUGAACACUUCUAGCUCCACCUGAGUUAUCAAACCUUCUCAAAUCACCAUGAGCAAUAUGACCAACAAGAUCACAACUAGCUCCACCUGAACUGCUAGAAAAUUCCCCAAUAUUAUUGUUAGAAUCAUCAUGAACAAACCGAUCACAACUGACUCCACCCGAGUCACCGCUUAUCAAACAUAAGCUACAACUGCAUUUACAGUGACCACCGAACCUUCCAAAGUAUAUAACCGAUCCUUACAUUGCUUCCUCUCUAGCAUCCAUACAAAACAAAAAAAAUC
rnacentral:lncRNA from 1 species